rnacentral:rRNA from 1 species
UAUAUCGGAACGUACCCUUGAGUGGGGGAUAACGUAGCGAAAGUUACGCUAAUACCGCAUACGAUCUACGGAUGAAAGUGGGGGCUUCGCAAGAACCUCAUGCUCGUGGAGCGGCCGAUAUCUGAUUAGCUAGUUGGUAGGGUAAAAGCCUACCAAGGCAUCGAUCAGUAGCUGGUCUGAGAGGACGACCAGCCACACUGGAACUGAGACACGGUCCAG